rnacentral:rRNA from 1 species
AGAAUCUGAUCGCGGUUCAGGAUGAAUGCUGGCGAUGUGCCUAAGGUAUGCAAGUCGAGCGUCCUGCCUUUAGAUUACUUAAGUAAAAUAUAUUUAUUUGAGUGACUUCUAAUGGCAGGAAGCGGCGAACGGGUGAGUAAUGCAUAGGUAAUCUGCCUUGAAGACAGGGAUAGCUUUCCGAAAGGGAAGAUAAUACCUGAUGGUCCGAAAUUUCGUAAAGAAUUUUUCGGUAAAGCUCAGGCGCUUCAAGAUGAGCCUAUGUCCUAUCAGCUUGUUGGUGAGGUAAUGGCUCACCAAGGCUAAGACAGGUAGCUGGUGUGAGAGCACGGACAGCCACAGUGGGACUGAGACACGGCCCACACUUCUACGGAAGGCAGCAAUUAGGAAUCUUGCGCAAUGGGGGCAACCCUGACGCAGCGACAUCGCGUGGAGGAGGAAGGUCUUCGGAUUGUAAACUCCUUUUAUUUGGGAAGAAUGAAUGACUGUACCAAAUGAAUAAGCACCUGCUAACUACGUGCCAGAAGCAUCGGUGAUGCGUAGGGUGCGAGCAUUAUCCGGAUUUAUUGGGCGUAAAGAGAUGCGUAGGCGUUUUUAUAAGUCAAGUGUCAAAGCCCGAAGCUUAACUUCGGAGAGGCACUUGAAACUGUAUUAAUUGAGAAAAGAAGAGGUGAGUGGAAUUCCCGGUGUAGCGGUAAAAUGCGUUGAUAUCGGGAGGAACACCAGAGGCGAAGGCGGCUCACUGGUCUUUUUCUGACGCUGAGGCUCGAAAGCGUGGGUAGCAAAACGGAUUAGAUACCCGUGUAGUCCACGCUGUAAACGAUGGAUGCUGAGUGUUGGGUUUAACCGGAUAAGGACUUCUUGUAAGAACUAUUCUGGAAGAACUCAGUGCUGAAGUUAACGCAUUAAGCAUCCCGCCUGGGGAGUACGGCCGCAAGGUUAAAACUCAAACGAAUUGGCGGGCACCCGCACAAGCGGAGGAGCGCGUGGUUUAAUUCGAUGGUAAUCGAAGAACCUUACCAGGGUUUGACAUGUAUCUGCAAGCCUCUUGAAAAAGAGGAAGCCUUCGAGGGUGAUACACAGGUGUUGCAUGGCCGUCGUCAGCUCGUGUCGUGAGAUGUAGGGUUAAGUCCCGAAACGAGCGCAACCCUUAUCCUAUGUUACAAGUGUCUUAGGAAACUGCCUCGGUAAAACGGGGAGGAAGGAGGGGAUGACGUCUGGUCCGCAUGACCCUUAUGUCCUGGGCUACACACGCGCUACAAUGGUUGGUACAAUGGGCAGCCAAACUGUAAAGUGGAGCUAAUCCUCAAAACCAAUCUCAGUUCGGAUUGAGGUCUGAAAUUCGACCUCAUGAAGUUGGAUUCGCUAGUAAUCGCAGAUCAGCCAUGCUGCGGUGAAUACGUUCUCGGGUGUUGCACACACCGCCCGUCAAGCCAUGGAAGUAGGUAGUACCCGAAGGCAUUCCCCUCGAGGGAGUGACGAAGGUAAGAUCUAUGACUGGGGCUAAGUCGUAACAAGGUAGCCGUAGGGGAAUCUGCGGCUG